GUCAACGAAGCCACGCGAGGUAUUUGAAAGGCAAUCAGCCCGACCGUCCCCCUAGAUUCAUCGGAGAAGGAACUUGGUGAAUAUUGCCCUGGGUCCUGGUAAUUCCACCUACUGAAGACAACUGCCCCUUCUGCUCAUAUUUCCUGAGUUAACAUGGCCGUUCCUAACUUUGAAGAGACUUUAGACAUUCUUUGUUACAAUGAGCCUAGAAGAAAGAAGAGAAAUACUUCUACUCUCUACUCUUCUCCAAGAGAUGACCAGCAGAGAGGACUCUCACUGAGACCAGCACAGUGAUGCCUGGACUCCUGGACUCCUGCACUCCCAAACUGAAACAGAGUUUUAAAGUCACCAGGGAAGGAUUCCCACCUUGAAGGACUGUCAUCCUACUUGACAACCUAUUGCACUAUCCUAAUGAUUUUCAUAGUCAAGAACACUUUUCAAAAUUGCUUUUAAUUUUGAAAAAAAUUAGUUAUUAAUUGAUCGAUUGUGUAUGUGUGUGAAGGCCACAGAAUAAUUGAUAGCAGUUGUUUCUCUUCUUCUACCUUGUGGGGCCUGGGGAUUAAACUCAAGUCUUUACACUUGGUCAUAAGCACGCCCCCUACUGAGUCAUUUCACCUCCUGCUGGGUCACCUAACAACCUACUAAGUCACCUCACCACCUGCUGAGUCACCUCACCAUCUACUGAGUCAGUUCACCACCUGCUGAGUCACCUCACCACCUGCUGAGUCAGCUCACCAUCUGUUGGGUCACCUCAGCACUUGCUGAGUCACCUCAUCACCUGUCAAGUCAGCUCACCAUCUGUUGGGUUACCUUACCACCUGCUGAGUCACCUCAGCACUUGCUGAGUCGCCUCACCACCUGCUGAGUCAGCUUACCACUUGCUGAGUCAGUUUACCACCUGCUGAGUCACUUCACUACCUGCUGAGUCACCUCACCACCUGUUGGGUCACCUCACCACCUACUGAGUCAAGUCACCACUAACUGAGUCAGCUCACCACCUGCUGAGUCACCUUAUCACCAGCUGAGUCACCUCAUUAGCCCAUUGUUUCUAAAUCCUUCUCACUCAAGUUUAAGACAUGAGCUUCCCACUGCUAAAAGAGAGAACAGAUGGUUACAAAAUUCUGCAUAUGAAUUCUUCGUUCUUUGGGAACAAACAAACAUAUGUAUGUGUGUACCUUGAAACACAUACCCACAUCCACACAACCCUGAUCCUGUGCGUCCAUUCACUGUUAUACAGUGAAAAGUUCAGCAUUUCUUACCUUUUGGUUAUUUUUAUUUCUUUUGAAAUAUGCAUGAUUGCCCCCAUCCCAACUCCACAGGAGGACCUCAUAGUUGGUACUGCUAAUCUGGUGUAGGUUUCUAAGCCAAUGACUAGGAGGAUAGUAGACCCAGGGGAGUGAGGCAGGUGGGCAGGGGUUGAAUCAGUUACUGUUGUUUUGCUAAAGGGACUACUCUCUAUCUAUAUACCCAUAGACCACACCCUUGGUUAGAGAUGCUUUUGCUUGCCUUGGGACAUAACUGGUCCAUGUGCUGAGAAAAGGGACUCUUGGGUACUCAGCCCUAUGUGGGACAUCUGUAUAACACAUCCCCAGAGCCCAGGGAAUAUCAUGGGGGAAUAUAAGAGCUAUAGGAUGAGAAUUGGUGCUAUAGAAUGCUGUUUGUGGAUAAGACAUGGCUGAUGCAUCCAUAACUCAGAGCAACAGUGGUGACUUGCUCAAGACCUUCACAAGACUGAGCUGUCAACCUUCUACCCUGGAUGGAAGACGAGAUCGUAAGAUCCCAUCCUUCCAUCGGAGCAACAGGCAACUAAAACGUGCACAGGGAAGGAAGAACAUACUCUUUAUACUGCUGAGUCACGAUUGCAUUGCCCUCACCCAAAUAAAUGUAGGAAACCACAAUUAAAUGAGGUGAGUCAUCAAUAAACCACAAACAAACAAACAGGCAAGCAACAGACAUAAAAGUUGGAGGACUGAGGAGAAGGAAUUUAUUGGGAGGUGACAAGAGAAGACUACGACAACGGAGCAAUUUUGAUCAAAGAAUGUGUGAAACUGUAAAAAAAAUAGUAAAUAUGUUAAAUACAUAAAAAUAAAGACAAAAAUACCACAGAUUAA
ensembl:lincRNA POU domain, class 3, transcription factor 3 adjacent noncoding transcript 1